GAACUCCCACCCAGCUGCUAUGGAGCUAUCUGUCUUGCCUUUCCCUUGUUUACUUCAGUGGGAAAUCAGGGUUAAGAGCACACAUAGGGACAGCACGGAGGGGAACAGCCCAUUCGAUGGAGUGGAGACACUCAUCCAAACCUGACAGCUGCCUAAAAGGCACUGUAGGAAGCCUGUUCAGUAAAGACAGCUGGGUGGAGAGAAGCAAAAUCAAGCAGGAAAGAGACAGUGUGGCUGGAGCUUGGGAGGGGAGAAGUCAGGAAAGCUGUGAGCUAAUCCCAGCUCUACUACUGGCUGCCUGUGGGAUAUUGGUACCCAAGAGGUGGGACCAGGCACGCUGGAAACCGGACGAGAGAUUUCUGCUACUGAUCGGAUGGGAAAUCGCUCUCAUGGAUGGAUCACGCGUCCCUCAGAACUGGAGUCCAGUUUGAAUGCUCCCUUCAUUUUACAUGGAUCAGGUCAGGUGAUCAGAGGAGCUCUCGCAACAUGCAUCAAGAUCCAGGAGUCCUAUGUUCACCCUGUCCAAAGGAUCAGGUUGGCUUUCACCCUGGAAAAAAUGUCCAGUCUGCUCUAGUCAUUCAGGAUUCCCGAUAUGCCUGUUUUUUUCCACUCUUAGUUCAAGAUACCAAAAAGGAAGCUAUUAGCAGAAAGACAUUCUUAGCAUAACCUGAAAAUGAAGUCCUUACAGAUGUCCCCACUUUGGAUGUAUAACAGUGAACCCACUAAUAUCACUAACAAGUUUUGAAAAUUCAGACCAAGGUGUUCUGCUAAGUGUCUGAAAAGACUUUCCUUCCAAGAACACUUACUGUCAGUGAUGCUUUGGAUAACCG
rnacentral:lncRNA from 1 species